rnacentral:rRNA from 1 species
CAGAGGUCUCAAGCGUUGUUCGGAUUCAUUGGGCGUAAAGGGUGCGUAGGUGGCGGGGCAAGUCUGGUGUGAAAUCCCGGGGCUCAACCCUGGAACUGCACUGGAUACUGCUUUGCUAGAGUACUGGAGAGGGAACUGGAAUUUACGGUGUAGCAGUGAAAUGCGUAGAUAUCGUAAGGAAGUCCAGUGGCGAAGGCGAGUUCCUGGACAGUUACUGACACUGAGGCACGAAGGCCAGGGGAGCAAACGGGAUUAGAUACCCCGGUAGUCCUGGCAGUAAACGGUGCGCGUUUGGUGUAGGAGGAUUCGACCCCUUCUGCGCCGGAGCUAACGCGUUAAACGCGCCGCCUGGGGAGUACGGUCGCAAGAUUA